AUGAUUCAGUACAGGGAGGGAGGGCCGUGGGAGGGAAGGAGGAAAAAAAGAAAAAGAGUGAAUUUGUAUACAAAUUCUACAUUUUCCUCCCCAUGCAGCCGGAGGCAGGGAGUGGAGAGCCCAGGCAGCCGGCCGACUGCUGCGGCUGGAAAGGCAGAGGCGCGGAGAGAGGGGCAGAGAGGGUGGGGAGAAAGGCGAGCGCGCGCGGGCGCCGGGGCCCCUGCUGGACGUCCCCGCCCAGCCGCCUCGGACCCCGGACCGCUCGUCGUGGGCACCAGAAGCGAGACUCGCCAAAUCCGGCCCCAGCAGGUGGCAGUAGACCUGAAUCACAGCUUGUGGCAGAUGUUCUCAGUAGUUCUGUUGAAAUUUCCCGAUCUCUAUCUGCACGAGGGGGCUCAGAGCUUCACCUGGGUGGUACCUGUCAUCCUUGGUAUGAGGCUCUCCUUCUCCACCUCACCCUUCCUGUUCUAGAACAGUGGCUGGGUUAGAAUUUAGCUGUUUGUUUUUAUAAAUAAUUCUGGAGAACGGAAAGAAAAAUGUUUCAGUAAUUUCAAUACCAUGACUUACUGGAGCUUGUGUAUUAUGCCUCAUUAUUUUUAUAACUCUUCAUGGAAACUUCAAAUAAUU
rnacentral:lncRNA from 1 species